UGAGGAAUAUUGGUCAAUGGGCGAGAGCCUGAACCAGCCAAGUAGCGUGCAGGAUGACGGCCCUAUGGGUUGUAAACUGCUUUUGUAUGGGGAUAAAGUCAGUCACGUGUGGUUGUUUGCAGGUACCAUACGAAUAAGGACCGGCUAAUUCCGUGCCAGCAGCCGCGGUAAUACGGAAGGUCCGGGCGUUAUCCGGAUUUAUUGGGUUUAAAGGGAGCGUAGGCUGGAGAUUAAGUGUGUUGUGAAAUGUAGACGCUCAACGUCUGACUUGCAGCGCAUACUGGUUUCCUUGAGUACGCACAACGUUGGCGGAAUUCGUCGUGUAGCGGUGAAAUGCUUAGAUAUGACGAAGAACUCCGAUUGCGAAGGCAGCUGACGGGAGCGCAACUGACGCUGAAGCUCGAAGGUGCGGGUAUCGAACAGGAUUAGAUACCCUGGUAGUCCGCACAGUAAACGAUGGAUGCCCGCUGUUGGUACCUGGUAUCAGCGGCUAAGCGAAAGCAUUAAGCAUCCCACCUGGGGAGUACGCCGGCAACGGU
rnacentral:rRNA from 1 species